rnacentral:rRNA from 1 species
CAGCGCCGCGGGAAUACGAAGGGUGCAAGCGUUAAUCGGAAUUACUGGGCGUAAAGCGUGCGUAGGCGGUGAGUUAAGUCUGCUGUGAAAUCCCCGGGCUCAACCUGGGAAUGGCAGUGGAUACUGGCUCGCUAGAGUGUGUCAGAGGAUGGUGGAAUUCCCGGUGUAGCGGUGAAAUGCGUAGAGAUCGGGAGGAACAUCAGUGGCGAAGGCGGCCAUCUGGGACAACACUGACGCUGAGGCACGAAAGCGUGGGGAGCAAACAGGAUUAGAUACCCCAGUAGUCCCUGUCUCUUAUACA